rnacentral:rRNA from 1 species
AUUGAACGCUGGCGGCAUGCCUUACACAUGCAAGUCGAACGGUAACAGGUCUUCGGAUGCUGACGAGUGGCGAACGGGUGAGUAAUACAUCGGAACGUGCCCGAUCGUGGGGGAUAACGGAGCGAAAGCUUUGCUAAUACCGCAUACGAUCUACGGAUGAAAGCAGGGGACCGCAAGGCCUUGCGCGGACGGAGCGGCCGAUGGCAGAUUAGGUAGUUGGCGGGAUAAAAGCUUACCAAGCCGACGAUCUGUAGCUGGUCUGAGAGGACGACCAGCCACACUGGGACUGAGACACGGCCCAGACUCCUACGGGAGGCAGCAGUGAGGAAUAUUGGUCAAUGGGCGAGAGCCUGAACCAGCCAUCCCGCGUGCAGGAAGACGGCCCUAUGGGUUGUAAACUGCUUUUGUGCAGGAAGAAUGUACUCAUCGUGAUGGGUAUUGACGGUACUGCAUGAAUAAGCACCGGCUAACUCCGUG